AUUAGGCCUAAGCCUGAUGUCGAUCUGGGGUCUCGUCUGCUCGAGCCUCCUCACGUCUUGUUCCAAAUAUAAUAUUAAUUUCCCAACCAAUAAUCCAAUAUUUAAUCAAAAUAGGCAAAAUUACCCGAGAGCCAUAAUUACGCUCAUCAUUGCCUAACUUCGAUAUUCUUACAUCGGAACAAUCCGAACUUAAAUAUCAUACUCAACAGUCGUAAAUACAACCUCCCCAAAAUACGACUUAAAUCUUACGGCCGGAUUCUACAUUAAUUAACCGCCAAAAAUACCAAACUUCGGAAAUUCACAAACCUAUCAAAAUCUCAUCCAAAAAUUCCAUAAAUCACACCAAUAUACUCCUCUUAAUAUUCCACAUUUAAAACCCUAAAAAUCUCCUAACCGGCGGCGGCUCCGCCGGCAGCCGUUUUCUGGCGACCUGCAAAUGCUACCAAAUUUUAACAAAAUCUUCCUCUCAAUCUCCUCUACAACUUUCAUGACCAACACAUCACCCAAUUCCAGGCCUAAGCACAUCAAUCGAACACAAAUACACAAAAAGCCCUAGAAAUUUCAAGUUCCCAUUUCUCCUUACCUAGCUCAAGAGGGAGGGAGCUACUUGGAGGGGUUGUUGCACGGGAGGAGGGCUACAAAACCGUACCAAGCUUGCCCGGAUUGGUGGCCGGAGGAGGAAGUUCCGGCGAGAAAACCGAUUCGGCAGUCGGAGCUUUCGGGCGGCACCGCUCACUCACGGCGGCGCUAGGGGGGCUGUCACCGGUCCUAGAAGAUAGCUGGGUCGGAGACCGAUCGAUUGGGACCGGUGCGGCGGUCUGGGGCGGCCGGACGGCGGCGGUCUGGCGGUCGGAAUUCCGGACGGCGGGAGGGCUCGGGGGAGAGAGAACCGGGAGGAGAAAAGAGGAGAAAAAAAAAGAGAAAAGAGAAAUGGGCCUCCACACCCGGUCCAACAACACUAAUAUACCCAAAUCCUACAAAUAAAACACCCCGAAAAAUAAUACCCGAAUAAAAAUUACCUUUUACUAGCUAAAAUUUACCAUUUUUACCGUCGUCGUAUUUUCUUCAUACUAAUAAUCCUCCGCACAUAAUCGUCCCCGAAACCCCUCUAGGGACCAAUUAAACUAUUUACUCAAUGAUCGAGACGGUAAAAUUCUUAUUAUAAUCACGCUAGUAAAUAAGGUAAAAAUAUAAGGGUCGGGAUGUGACAAUGAUGCUUGUCACGACAGCUAAUUUACAAUGGAAACAAUUGGUUAUAUCAUCACCAUCUGCUUGACUUGACAAAACAAACAAAUUAUUCAAUUAUUCAAGACUUUGUCCCUCUCAUUCUAUUUUCAGGAUUAAUUAUCAAAUUGAAGGCGUCAACGAUUAACACGAAACAAAAUAUCAAUCUUUCUCAUUUGCCACACUUCGCACGGCAUUGACUAGCAAUGGUUUAUUACUAUAUCAGAGCUACUAGUCUUUUGAUUAUGACAUUAGAAAACAAAAGCUUUAUAAUUAACUUGAGGAAGACCCCUGGUGCUAGUCGUUUCUAUAAUUCCUAAUAUAUAUUUGGAUGUUUAUGUACGUAUAUUCCAUACUUGGGGCCAGUAAUGGGC
rnacentral:lncRNA from 1 species